rnacentral:rRNA from 1 species
CUCUGUGACUCCUACGGGAGGCAGCAGUGGGGAAUAUUGCACAAUGGGCGCAAGCCUGAUGCAGCCAUGCCGCGUGUAUGAAGAAGGCCUUCGGGUUGUAAAGUACUUUCAGCAGUGAGGAAGGCGGGUGUGUUAAUAGCACAUUCGUUUGACGUUAGCUGCAGAAGAAGCACCGGCUAACUCCGUGCCAGCAGCCGCGGUAAUACGGAGGGUGCGAGCGUUAAUCGGAAUUACUGGGCGUAAAGCGCAUGCAGGUGGUUUGUUAAGUCAGAUGUGAAAGCCCCGGGGCUCAACCUCGGAAUUGCAUUUGAAACUGGCAGACUAGAGUACUGUAGAGGGGGUAGAAUUUCAGGUGUAGCGGUGAAAUGCGUAGAGAUCUGAAGGAAUACCGGUGGCGAAGGCGGCCCCCUGGACAGAUACUGACACUCAGAUGCGAAAGCGUGGGGAGCAAACAGGAUUAGAUACCCUGGUAG